AGUAAGGUGGCUCAAUGGUAGAGUGUUUGCUUGGCAUGCAUGAGGUGCUGGGUUCAGUUCCCAGCAGUACAC
rnacentral:tRNA from 1 species